rnacentral:misc_RNA from 1 species
GAUGAAGAACGUAGCGAAAUGCGAUAAGUAAUGUGAAUUGCAGAAUUCAGUGAAUCAUCGAAUCUUUGAACGCACAUUGCGCCCGCCAGUAUUCUGGCGGGCAUGCCUGUCCGAGCGUCAUUUCAACCCUCGGGCCCCCCUCUGCGGGCGGCCCGGCGUUGGGGCUCAGGCGCCGUCUCUGCUCGGCGCCUGUCCCCUAAAUGCAGUGGCGGCCUCGCCGCUGCCUCCUCCGCGUAGUAGCACAAACCUCGCGGCUGGAAGGCGGCGCGGCCACGCCGUAAAACCCCCCAACUUUACCAAGGUUGACCUCGGAUCAGGUAGGAAUACCCGCUGAACUUAAGCAUAUCAAUAAGCGGAAGA